UCUCACAAUGUCUGACAUGCCCUUUGUGU
rnacentral:piRNA from 1 species